AAGAAAAGCAGCUGAUCUAAACCAUCUUGUAAUACAGUGCUCCCAUCUAAGAACAACCUAAGAUCUUGAGUUCAUUUGUCCUAAGUUGUAUUCUCUCAAAACAACAACUAUUAAAGCAGUGACUCCAGAGGGCCGAUAAGUCAGAUCUCAGCUGAUCAUGGGAAGGGCCCAAGUUUCAAAUCGCUCCUCUCUUACAGCGCGUCCAGCAUGCCUCUUGUCAGCACCAUUCCUUAGCUGACCCAGGGAGGAACACAAACAUUUGUUUUCUUUUUAAUCACAAAGCCGGCUGUGCCACUUCUGUCAAAUACCAUUAACUGUCCUGGACCUGCAGUUUAAUGUCCUGGCUCACUGCAGGUAUGAUCCUUGGUCAGGGUUAAAUAAUUAAUAAAGAGUCAUUAGUACCUGCAGUUUUGUGAUUCAUGGUGUGGUCCCGGGCCAGCUGGGUAAAAAUGCAGGCUCAGAAGCCCUGCUACAGACCUAUUGAAUCAGAAUCUGCAUUCUCAACCAGAUUCCUGGGAGAUUCAUACAUACAUGGAAGUUCCAAUAGUCCUGGUCUACAGAAUAUAGGAUCCUUCUCAGAUUAGAAAGUACCCCAAAGCCACGCCCUCAACCCCAGCUCUGUGUGGAAUCACCUGGGAGCUUUAGAACACUCAGCUGCCUGGGUUCUGCCCUUAGAGAUUCUGAUGUGAUUUGGUCUGCAGUGUGGGCAUCGGAAACACUAAAAGCUGCCAAGUGCUUCUUUAUAUUUCCAAGGUUGAGAACCUUAGCUGAGCGGCAGAACCAUGUGGAAACUUUCUUUUCCCCUAAGACAGGGUCUCUGUCACCCAGGCUGGAGUGCAGUGGUCCGAUUACUGCUUACUGUAGCUUGGACCUCAGGUGAUCCUCCCAUCUCAGGUUCAUGAGAAGCUGAGACUACAGGCAUGCACAACUACACCUGGCUUAUUUUUCUAUUUUUAAUAGAGAUGGGGUUUUUUCAUGUUGGCCAGGAUGGUCUUGAACUCCUGGGCGCAAGCGAUAUUCUUACCUUGGACUCCCAAGGUGCUGGGAUUAUAGGCGUGAGCCACUGUGCCUGGCUUGUUACUUCUAAAUAGAGUUGUCCCUUGGUAUCUGUGGGGGAUUGGUUCCAGGACUCCCCUCAGAUACCAAAAUCUGAGGAUGCUCAAGUCCCUGAUAUAAAAUGGCAUAGUAUCUGCAAAUAACUUAUACACAUCCUGCUGUACACUUCAAGUCAUCUCUAAUUACUCAUAACCCCUAAUACAAUGUGAGUUGUUAUACUCAAUUGUUAAGAAUAACCAUUUUUAAAGUUGGUACAUGUUCAGUAAAGACACAAUUUUUUCCCCCAAAUUUCUUGAGUCCAUGGUUGGUUGAAUCCAAGAUGUAAAACCCACGGACACAGAGGGCCGACUGUAUACAGAUGUACAAGCCCCACCCCAGAGGUCCUUAUUUCAGUAGAUGUAGGGUAGAGUUCAGGCAUGCAUGCCCUUAUGGAAGUUCCAGCUGACCCUGGGUAACGGAGGCACAGCCGUGGCUGAGAGUCCUGGAGCCCACAUGGAGCUAAACCCUGGUGGGUGGGGGUGGGGCACUCCAAGUUCCACCUCUGCCAAAUAGGGCUGCAGAGAGCUAAAGGCUAUACAGCUUGUGAUGCACCUUUCUUGGGGAUUCUGGAAUCUUUGCCCCUGAUUUCCCAUAAUCCUAGCCAAGGAACAGAGCAUCAGGUUAUUUGAUAUUACUUUUCAAACAGAAGCAAUGGGUAUUCUUCACACAUAAGGCUUUCCUUCCCUAGUGCAAUAUAUGCAUUCCAGAAACUCCUCACAUUCUGAAAAAUCACACACUUAAAGUCUAAGGGAUUUGGAGAAAAUUAGCAUCCCCAAUAGGUUACUUAGGAAACAAACCAUUUUGAAACCUGAAACUAACAAAAUCAGAAAUGUGCCCAGGAAGCUCACUUGGACUAUCCAGGGAGGUGACCCAGGCUGGCAAGAAACCACCAUGGCAGAUAUUAAAAACACACACAAUAUAGGGCCUGGUGCAGUGGCUCAUGCCUGUAAUCCCAGCACCUUGGGAAGCCAAGGCAGGCAGAUGACGAGGUCAGGAGAUCAGGACCAUCCUGGCUAACACAGUGAAACUAUGUCUUGACUAAAAAUGCAAAAAAAUUAGCUGGGCGUGGUGACGCAUGCCUGUAGUCUCAGCUACUUGGGAGGCAGAGAUGGGAAGUUCCCUUGAACCCAGGGAGGUUGAGGCUGCAGUGAGCCAAGACUGCGCCACUGCACUCCAGCCUGGGUGACAGAGCAAUCCUUGGCUCAAAACAAAACAAAAACAAAAACCAACAACACCACACACAACAUAAUAGAGUGGAGAUGCUGAAGAGCUUCCAGAUGGAGCCAGUGGAGGGUGCCGAGACCUCGAAGACAGAGGUGGGCGUCUGAGCCAGCAAGGCUGCUGUUAAGGUGGGCCUGGGGAGCCACACAACCUGUCCUUAGACACUCAGGCCUGCAGUGUGCUUCUUAGGACAGAGGACCCCCGACAGUGGGCUGCAUUUGAAAUUCUGUUAAAAUACAACUCAAUAGGGUCCCUGCUGCCAAUGCAAAAGCUGACUUAAAGACUUUGUUUUCCUGCUAAAUUUUCUGUUAUUCCAGCUACUCUGGUUUCCUUUGCCAAGGAAAAACUGCAUAUGAACCAAUGCAGCAAGUGGGUUACACUGACAUCAUUCCCCUGUAGCCCAGUCUCAUGAGCUAACUCAUUAUGGAAACCUGUCACAGCAAACAGACUACACUGAGGAUUUUGAUGUCUCAUGUUCAGGUGGCUCGACUCUGCUUGGAGUCCGCAGGGCAGUGUCUUAAAGUGAUGGCCUCAACAAUUUACAUUGGAAUCACCUGAUUAAAAAAAAGCACAGGUCCCUAAGUUUUACCCCAGACUUGCUGAACCUGCAUUUUUAUUAUUCUUACUUAUUUAUUUAUUAGAGGCAGAGUCUCUGUCAUCCAGGCUGGAGUGCAGUUACGCAGUCUCAGCUCACUGUAAUCUCCACCUCCCGGGUUCAAGCGAUUCUCCUGCUUCAGCCUCCCAAGUAGCUGGGACUACAGGGGCCGGCCACUGUGCCCAGGUUUAUUUUUUAUUUUUAUUUUUAUUUUUAGUAGUAGAGACAGUGUUUCGCCGUAUUGGCCAGGCUAGUCUCAAACUCCUGACCUCAGGUGAUCUCCCUGCUUUGGCCUCCCACAGUGCUGGGAUUAUAGGCGUGAGUCACCAUGCUUGGCCUGAACCUGCAUUUUUAAUAUGCUGUCCCAGGAUUCUCUUGGGCUUUAAAGUUUGGAAACCACGAGCUCAGUUAGAUGGACCCAGAGCGGUACUACAACUUUUCCAGCAUUUCUGUAAAGAUUCACAGGACUCUGGAAACAACAGGAAGUUUACAGUCCUCGAGUGUAACCCCUUUGUCCUAAGAGGAAAAACAAAAACUCUUGGUUAGAAUUUUCUUCUGCUUCCUAAUUGGCUUGGUAUAAACGCAGCUUGUUCUUCACCUGUCCGGGAACUGAAAUAAAUACAGAUCCUGAUUUAUUGUAACUAAUCCAAAACAGGUGUGCCUUUUACAGCUGUGUUUUAUUUUGAGGAGUAGUUCAGUGGCAGGAAUUUGGGUGGCAGCAGGGGAGGCUGGUGAGAGGAGGGUCACUUGGCGGUAAGGUGGGUUUUAGUCCCUGUACCAAAUCCUCACUACUGCCUGCUGUUGGAGCUGAGUGCCAGAGACAUGGCCUCUCUUGGUCUUUAUUGGUCUUCUUUGGUUAUGAUAGAAGAUACACUUGCAUCUCUAAAAGGAGGUGGAAAAAGCAUUGAACUAACCAAUCUUGUAUCAAGACAAAUGAUAAAGCUGUGGUCAUCAAGAUAGUGUGGGAGGUGCUGUAGAUAGAUAGAUAAACCAAACCGAGGAAAAAGUACAGAAUCCAAUCCUGGAAUUUGGUUUAUGGAUAGAAAUAGUCAUUCAACUUGUAGGGAAGAGACAAGUACUUCAAUGCUGACACAAUGAGCACCAUAUGGGAAAAAUGUCAGUGCCUUACAAUGGACCCCAAAUAAACUCUGCUGAUAUUUGAUCUCUGAGUUAAAAUUCCUAAGUACUGAAAAAAAUUUUCAAAAUGAUUUUCAUGAUCUUGAGAGAUAUAGGAUCUUCUUGGGACAAGAAGAACAAAAUAAAAAGAAAGAAAGAGAAAGAAAUAUCAAUAAUUUUGAUUUUAUCAAAUUGAAAUUUUUCUAUAGAACAAAAAUACCACAAAGAAAAUUAAAGUGACACCCUCUGUAUGUAGGACAUUGUAAUAGACAAAGAUAAUUUUUCCAAGGUAUAUAAAAAUCGAAUAGAUAGGGCCGGGCGCGGUGGUUUAAGCCUGUAAUCCUAGCACUUUGGGAGGCCAAGGUGGGUGGAUCACGAGGUCAAGAGAUCGAGACCAUCCUGGUCAACAUGGUGAAACCCCGUCUCUACUAAAAAAUACAAAAAAUUAGCUGGGCGUUGUGGCACGCGCCUGUAAUCCCAGCUACUCGGGAGGCUGAGGCAGGAGAAUUGCCUGAACCCAGGAGGCGGAGGUUGCGGUGAGCCGAGAUUGCGCCAUUGCACUCCAGCCUGGGUAACAAGAGCGAAACUCCGUAUAAAAAAAAAAAAAAAAAAAAAAAUCGAAUAGAUAAAACACCCCUAACAAUUGAAUUAUUCUUAAAAGGUAAAUAUAUAUGAGGUUUAUGGAAGAGAUAAAUGAACAAUAAAUAUGCAAGAAGAUGCUCAACCUUAGGAGUAAUUAGGAAAAUACGAAUUUUAGAGAUAUAACGUCUUUCAUCAGAUAGAUAAAAAAUUAAAAGCAUAAUGUCAAGCUGAUUAUAAGGAAGUGAGUACAUUGCCAGUAAAAGAGUAAUUUGGCAAAAUCUCUCAGAACUGAAAAGGUCAUUAGCCAUGAUGCAGCAGUUUCACUUCUCAAUACUGACUCGAGAGAGGCUUGCACGAGGGCCCAAGGAAGCAUGUGACAUCAUGAGUGUCGUAGAAUUGUUUCUAAGGAAACAUUUCUAAGGAAAUGUUCAUGGGUAACUGGCUAAAUAAAAUGUGGCCGGCUCAAAUGAUGGACACCUCAAAACAACAUAGAAUAAGAACGGUCUGGAAGAAUACAUUCAAAAUGAUAAGAUUAACUCUGGAGAAGGAAACAAGAAACCUAACAUUUGGAGAGAGACUGUUCUUAAAGUGAUAGUACCUCAUGCUAAGAAGACUGUGUGGAAACAGAUUUUUCUGUUACACUGCUGGCAAGAGUGCAAAUUAGUACAACCCUUCUGGAUGUCAAAUUUGUGAUAUUUACUAAUCCUUUAACAUGUACAUUUUGGCCCUGUAAUUAGCCUAAUAAAAUUAUCAGAAGUAUAAAUAGAGCCAUUAGGACAAGAGUUUUUAUUGUAACAUGGUUCACAAUAAUGAAACACUGAGAACAAUCCAACAACGAAGGAAUAAUAAAAUAUAUUAUGGUACAAUAUUCUUUGGACUAUUAAGGCAUUAAAAAUCAUGCCUUCAAAAUAUUUAAGGAUAUUUUUUAAAUGCUUGGAAACAAUUUCAAAGCAAUAUAUAUGUUGUCUCUUCCCUUGAGAAACUUACAGGUUCACGAGAGAAAGAUUAGUCUCUUUGCCUUGUGGCCAUGCCAUUUGUUUAUUGGCAGAUCCAAAGCUACAGUAUUGGUCAUUUUUCCCAGUUUAAUGCCCUUAUACCUCACGGCAAUUCUAGCCUAAAUGACUCCGUCUUAAAGCCACUUCUUUCACUCUUACCUUGGGUAACUGACAAUACAUUUCACAGUUUUAUAAACAAAAUGUCUCUAUUCCCCCUUUCUAGCUGUUUUACAACAUAAGCUCUACUCUGUUUUACUGGAAAAAUAGUAUGUAUAUUAUAAUACUAUAGCUUUUUAAAAAAAUCCCUUACGAGACCAAAAAACAGCAAGAGAAUGUUUUUGUUUGAUCCCCGAGGGAAUAGCGUGAUCGUGAAUAGAUACUGAAAGUUAGAUGCUGGAUAGGAGCCCCUCAAAGUCCAAGGGCUCUAAAAAUGAGUGAGUAUUGUAAAAACAUUAAGCCACUAGAUAUGGAUAAAAUUUCCUCUUAUUGUAUUUCUAGAACCAUAUAUGGUAAGACCGUAUCAUAUGAGCUGCCAAAUUCCCCCAGGGGGGAGUAUCGCUCUGUAAUCCUAAGGCGCUAUGGACUAAUGUUUUUAUCCCCUAAAAAUUCGUGUGUCGAAGUCCUAACCUAAUCAGGUUUAGAUGAGGUCAUGAGGCUGGGGCCCCAUGACAGGAUUAGAACCCUUGUAAGGAGAGACACCAGAGAGCUUGCUUCCUGUCUUCUUUCUGCCAUCUGAGGACACAAUGAGAAGGCAGCCACCUGCAAGUCAGGAAGAGAGCCCUCACCAAGAACUCAAUCAGAAACACCUUGAUCUUGGACUUCCCAGCUUCCAGAACUAGAAGAAAUAAAUGUCUCUUAUUUAAACCACACAAUAUAUGGCCUUUAGUGAUAGCAGCCUGAGCUAAGACAUAAAUUCACUCUCAGAAUUUACAUCCACAGCUCCAGGUAACUUGGGAGCCAUUUGGUACAUAAAGGUAGUGAACUACUAAAGGGCAUCCCUGUAGUCUAAAAUAGCUUCCAUGCAUACCUAAUUUAUACCAGAGGUUACUCUGUUCACUGGGAUACUGUAAGUUUUAUGAAUGAUGAUGUUGAUAUUGUGUUCAUGGCAUGACACCAACUGACGCUUUAGUAAGGCCUUUUUCUGAAAUGGAAUUGUUAUUUACCAAAAGUAAGCAGCAAGUCACAAAUCACAUCAGUCAGUUCUGUAGUUUAAAAGACUGAAAAUGAAACCAUCUUGGAGUUGCCUUUUUAGAUCAUCAUCUCAGCUUCUAUGCCAGGUCAAAAGUCUACACUGAUGGUAGGGAGAAACAAGUGUUGUUAUCAUCCACAAAAUUAUAACCGUUUAUUGAAUAUUUGUGUGUUUCAAAUACUAUGUUAAUGCCCGACCCUUGGCAUUUCUGGUAGUCCAUGUAACAAUACCAUGAGCUGGCCUACAAGACUCAAUGAGGUUAAUUAACAUGCCCAGGGCACCUCUAUCUGUAAGUGACAAAACUGGAACUCAAGUUUCAUAAGAAAAUCUGAUCAACAGAGCACAGGCUGAAGUGGGCGAAGGUGAGGAUGAUUACUGAGUAUUGACUAAGUGUAGAGUCAGAAUAACUCAGGUGAAAGAACCCAUGGAUUGGCCCCAACAUCCGGAUUAUUGAUGAAAGUAUUCGAUUGCUCCCAAGGCAGGUGCUGAUAAUGCCCUGCCCCAUAGCUAUGCCGUCCACCUAGGUUCCCUGCAACUGCAGGUGAAGGCAGUUUCCACCACCUGACAGCUCCCAUAGCCUGAGAACUUCAUGAGCUGGGACGUUGCUUGACCACACCAGAAAGUGUAUCUGGAAGUCAGGAGAGUCCUCCACCAAUGGGGACUCUCAAUGUCCUAGACUCCCUAGCUUCCUGUGGGGUGAGUCUAAGGCAUUCAUCACACGAUUCCUUAGAGGAUCCCUGUGAUCAGGCCCCUGUUGUCCACAGCAGCAACACAGUCAUUCAUUCAUAUCCCAUUUCCUGGUGGUUUUUCUUCUGUGUCUUGUAUUUCCCCUUUCUCCCCAUGUUUUCUGGGAUCA